AAUUACUAGAGAAGAUCAGGAUCAGACCUGCACAGCAAUAUCUAUACUAUUAAAAAAAAAAAAAAAGCUAUGAGGAAGCAUUCCCAAGCACUGCAUUGUCUACAAUCAAAGUGUUGGAAGACUCCCCAGCAGACUUGAGACCUGGACCAACCAGAUUUCUCCCAAAUAAUUUAGAGGUACAAUUCAGGGAUUAACUCCAACCCAGGAUCCAUUCUGAACAGACUUGGUGUGAGAACCAUAUGGAUGGGAAGAAAUAACCUAGACCCAAAUUUACGUAUUGCAAAACAGGAGGCCAAACACUGAAACAGCAUCUAACAAAAGCUAUAGGCCCAAACAGGCACAAACUGGAACACAGGAGGUGCUAUCUGAAUAUCAGGAAACACUUUUUCAUGGUAGACGCUGCCAUCGUGGUGUUUCUGUGCCGGGUACUGCGGCUGCUCAACCCCCGGCACUGGGACACAUGCACUCGGAUGAGGGGCUGAGACAUGUGGAACUGUGCAAGGGCUGGUGCCAGGG